rnacentral:pre_miRNA from 1 species
ACACCUAUCACUCAGGGAUCUUGUUAAAAUGCAGAUUCUGGUUAAGUCGUUGUGGGGUGGGGCCUGGGAUUCUACACGUCUAACAAGCUCCCAGGUGAUACCAAA